rnacentral:rRNA from 1 species
AGACACGGACCAAACUCNUACGGGAGGCAGCAGUGAGGAAUAUUGGUCAAUGGGCGAGAGCCUGAACCAGCCAAGUAGCGUGCAGGAUGACUGCCCUAUGGGUUGUAAACUGCUUUUAUGCGGGAAUAAAGUGCACCACGUGUGGUGUUUUGUAUGUACCGCAUGAAUAAGGACCGGCUAAUUCCGUGCCAGCAGCCGCGGUAAUACGGAAGGUCCGGGCGUUAUCCGGAUUUAUUGGGUUUAAAGGGAGCGCAGGCGGGAUAUUAAGCGUGACGUGAAAUGUAGCCGCUCAACGGCUGAACUGCGUCGCGAACUGGUAUUCUUGAGUGAGUUCGAUGUAGGCGGAAUUCGUGGUGUAGCGGUGAAAUGCUUAGAUAUCACGAAGAACUCCGAUUGCGAAGGCAGCCUACAAGGCCUUUACUGACGCUAAAGCUCGAAGGUGCGGGUAUCGAACAGGAUUAGAUACCCUGGUAGUCCGCACGGUAAACGAUGGAUGCCCGCUGUUCGCGAUAUACUGUGAGCGGCCAAGAGAAAUCGUUAAGCAUCCCACCUGGGGAGUACGCCGGCAACGGUGAAACUCAAAGGAAUUGACG